UAAACGUCCCAGUUCGGAUUGCAGUCUGCAACUCGACUGCAUGAAGCUGGAAUCGCUAGUAAUCGCGGAUCAGAAUGCCGCGGUGAAUACGUUCCCGGGUCUUGUACACACCGCCCGUCACACCAUGGGAGUCAGCAACGCCCGAAGCCAGUGACCCAACUGAGAAGAGGGAGCUGUCGAAGGCGGGGCCGAUAACUGGGGUGAAGUCGUAACAAGGUACC
rnacentral:rRNA from 1 species